AGAGCGAACGCUGGCGGCAGGCCUAAUACAUGCAAGUCGAACGGAUCCUUCGGGAUUAGUGGCGGACGGGUGAGUAACGCGUGGGAACAUACCCUCCGGUUCGGAAUAGCUCAGGGAAACUUGGAUUAAUACCGGAUACGGCCGAGAGGCGAAAGAUUUAUCGCCGGAGGAUUGGCCCGCGUUCGAUUAGCUAGUUGGUGAGGUAACGGCUCACCAAGGCGAUGAUCGAUAGCUGGUCUGAGAGGAUGAUCAGCCACAUUGGGACUGAGACACGGCCCAGACUCCUACGGGAGGCAGCAGUGGGGAAUAUUGCGCAAUGGGCGGAAGCCUGACGCAGCGACGCCGCGUGCGGGAUGAAGGCCUUCGGGUUGUAAACCGCUUUCACCAGGGCGAAGCGAGAGUGACGGUACCUGGGGAAGAAGCGCCGGCUAACUACGUGCCAGCAGCCGC
rnacentral:rRNA from 1 species